GAUCCAACCUGUGUUCCAGUGCUCCCAAGAUGCUGCUGAUCCCAUUGCCCCAAAGUGGAAACUCCUGGAAUUCUUUGUCUAUAACUCAUUUAAUAAAUUUAAGAGCAUGCAUCAGUGAUCUUCAUCCUCAUAGAAAGUGAACAGCACCCAUUUUAUUUCCUUCACCCAGCCCCACACAGAAAUAGGAUGCCCUUUAAGAUUUUAUCUCCAGCUUUUCUUCAAUUUUAAAGAUAUUUUCCUGGGCCUAGGCUUUUUAAUUUUUCUGAAGCAAAAAUGAAUAAAUACUGUGUCUAUGGUGGAUAAAAAAAGAUAAGUAAUCUUACUAGUUUGCCAAAUAUACACUUCCAAAAAAAAAAAAGGAGGCAUUUACUGUCUUAAGUCAGGCUAAAAAUAAUAUUAUUUUAGGGUGUAUAGGUAAUUGAAGAAAUCAAGUUUUCCCUUCACUUACUAUCUGGAUAAUUGCCUAAUUUUCCCACUGUCAUCAUCCUGUCCUGCUAGUGUUGCUUUAUACACAACCUGGUCUUCCCUUUUGUUGUAUUUAUUUUUUCUUUAAGACACCCUUCAAAUAUUAAAGAAAAAGAGAGAGGCUAUACAAUUUGCAUCAUGACUUAAAACUAUUAGAAGAUAGGAAUUCAGUAGUUGAGACAAUGCGUUUCAAAACUCCAAAAGAUAACAGGUUUAAAGAAAUUGGCAUAUGUUAGUGAUUAUGCAAUCAUUCAUUUCCCACAGAUUUCUUUUUAUAGGAAACUUUGGAAAAUCCCAGAAGAACUGACCGAGUCAUUUCAACCACAACAGGUUUCUUUCAACAUCAAAAUCAUGGGUAGGAGUGGGCGAGGAAUAAUUUUCUUUCUUUUUUUUUUAAAGGCAUGGACAGCCUGGUUCUGAGUGUGCAAAGCUGUGGCUUCCCCUCCUAUAGACGCCUUCUGAACAGCAAAUCUGACUUCCUCCUCAGACCAAGGCAUCCUGAAAACAUCCAAGCAGAGGAAGCAUUUUUUCACCAUGACAUGGGAAAGGGCCACAGAGAUCCAAAUGGAAACGGACAUUUCAUACCAAUGCAUUGGAUGAUAACUGGUACAUCGUCAAGGGACAGAAGUGUCAACAGGUAAGUUCCAAUGUAAUUGCAGGAAAGAUAGAUGUUUGUCCAAUGUAAUUGCAGGAAAGAUAGAUUUAAGACUCAUGGAUUUGUGAUGUGAUUGGACUAUAAGAGGAAUCUAUUUGACAUUCCACAUUGCAAAUAGCCAGGGAUAAAGGAUAUAAUGUUGAGCUCUUUUGUUUUUAAAUCAGUGAAUGCCUUAAAAACAAAAGAAAUGAACCCUUUAAUCUAUGGAAUACAAGGGUCUAUCAACUAAAUGAUGACCACAGUUGGAAAGGUAGACAAAUCUAAGAUGCAAUUCCCACAAAAUUUUCCUGGGAAGAAAAUAAUGAAAUAUAAAAUAAAAUAUAAAAUAAUAAAAACA
rnacentral:lncRNA from 1 species